rnacentral:misc_RNA from 1 species
CAAAUGAUAACAAAAGUGCUUCGGCUUCAGGUUAUAUUCAUUUAUACAAAGGUCACUUUCAGCUUGGCUUGUUUGAAACAUGGAUUAUUGUAAUUAAUGACUUUUAGUAACAGAUAUCAAAGAAAAAACAUCAUAAAUAUAACAUCCCCAGGCAUGAAAGAAUCCAAUAGGUGCCACCCUACCUUUGCCAAUGAAUUGCUGCAUCCAUAAUGAACCAUAGCCAAUGCUCACAUACGACAUCAUUUGAAGUUCCCAGUCUAAAAAUAGUAAUCUUAAAUAUGCACUUCUAAAUAUCCACUAAGGCUGCGGGCGUGUCUGGACUAUGUAGAUAUCUUUUCCAAUCACACAGCCCUCCACAUCUUGUGGACACCCAAAUUUCCUCUCCAAGAAAAACCCAACAGCACAGAGACGCUGACCAAGAUGACGACGGAAUAUUGGAUCAACUGUUAAUGGUUUCUUGCUGUAAUCAACAACCAAACGGAUGAUUUCCCCAUCAGCCGGACCUGCACCAGAUACUAGCAUUUCCUCACUGAAAUUCGCAAAUGCCAGUGUUCGUACAUGUCCAUCAAACUUCCCAGAUGAAAGACGCCAGGGAGUGCCCCGAGUGCCUGAAGCUAGGGUUUCACCAAGCCCAGGGGCAAUCUCGGCCUCAACCAAAUUGUGUUCUUGGUCAGUAGGGCUGAGAGUGUGAAGCACAAAUGAGAGAUCCGGUGAAAGCAUUUCUUGCACCAGAACUGCCAUUGCAGCAUCCUUCUGAGACACACCAGCAGCUUGACGACUUAAAACAGCUCUGCGAGUGUACAGUGAAGCCCAUACUUGGCUUACAGCAUUUGCAAAUACAAUUGGAUUUGAUGGGCUAACAUUAGGAAUAGACUCAUAAAGUCCAGCAGCUGACAGUCCUGCUAGGUCCUCAACAUUGGCACUUGAACGUACAAUUAAACGUGCAUUACCUGGAAAUAUUCGGCCUAUUCCAUCAAUUAUAUCUUUUGGGGGCUGCAAAGAAGAGAUCAGCUCCUGGAGUUGAGAGCACAGUUUGUCAAGUUCACCACCUUCCAAUCUAGCUGUUUCUGUCUGUUCUAGAAGUGACAUGAAUGUUUCCAUGGUUUUACUCUGCUUUAGUGCCAAUUCCAUAGAACCAAAUGGUAUAACUGCCCCCUUGGGCACAUGAAAUGAAGCUGGGACCCCUUGGUCACUAUAAACUUUAUGUGAAACAGCUGCCAAAGAGGCU